rnacentral:misc_RNA from 1 species
GAUGAAGAACGCAGCGAAAUGCGAUAAGUAGUGUGAAUUGCAGAAUUCAGUGAAUCAUCGAAUCUUUGAACGCACAUUGCGCCCCUUGGUAUUCCAUGGGGCAUGCCUGUUCGAGCGUCAUUUGUACCCUCAAGCUCUGCUUGGUGUUGGGUGUUUGUCUCGCGGUUCUGCGCAGACUCGCCUUAAAACAAUUGGCAGCCGGCUUGUUAGCCUGGAGCGCAGCACAUAUUGCGCCUCUUGCUAGCGACUGCCCGGCACCCAUCAAGCCCAUUUAUUUGCUCUUGACCUCGGAUCAGGUAGGGAUACCCGCUGAACUUAAGCAUAUCAAUAAGCGGAGGA